rnacentral:rRNA from 1 species
AGAGUGAACGCUGGCGGUAGGCCUAACACAUGCAAGUCGAACGGCAGCACAGUAGGAGCUUGCUCUUACGGGUGGCGAGUGGCGGACGGGUGAGGAAUACAUCGGAAUCUACCUUUUGGUGGGGGAUAACGUAGGGAAACUUACGCUAAUACCGCAUACGCCCUUCGGGGGAAAGCCGGGGACCAGCAAUGGCCUGGCGCUGAUAGAUGAGCCGAUGUCGGAUUAGCUAGUUGGUGAGGUAAUGGCUCACCAAGGCGACGAUCCGUAGCUGGUCUGAGAGGAUGAUCAGCCACACUGGAACUGAGACACGGUCCAGACUCCUACGGGAGCAGCAGUGGGGAAUAGUUGGACAA